AAGGCUAUGUGUAACUGGCGAAAUACGGAUAACCGUAGGGGAGCACAUAGUGUCGUAUGCCGUUCGCCUGGGCAGAGGUA
rnacentral:ncRNA from 2 species